AUAUUGACGUGGUCAAUAUUGACGUGGUCAAUAUUGACGUGGCCAAUAUUGACGUGGCCAAUCGGGACCGUGGCCAAACGGGUGCCACUCAUAAAACAUUGCUUUAGCGAUGUGAUUGGAUCUUCACAACAAUACCUUGAACUAAAUGAAAACCGUAAAAUAUGCGAUUUUUUACGUAAUCUUUGAACGCGAUUUGUUGUUAGAAAAAGUAAAUCUAUGCAAAAAUUGAUAACAGCAUUUAAAAGUGCAAACUUUCAGCUUUCCAAUGCUUUUUUGCUGAGCGCUGUACGUUGAUUUGUUCGCGAGUAACAAGCCAUGAAAGUCAAAAUGACCAUUUUUUAUUAAAAUCUCAAUAACCCGGUCAAAAAAAUUGUACAGCAAUGAACAACCACUCGAAUUAAAGGGAAAAGUUCCCGCUCUAAGAUGUAAGUAACAAAAAUACUUAUGAUUUUUUUACGCGAGAUGCAGCGCAGUAAAUACGCAUAAAAAAUUUUUAUUUUAACGGGUCAAGCUUCAUUAUUGUGCCACGUAAAAAAAAGAUAACUAAAAUCGCCAAAAAGCAUUCGAAAGAAGAAGUUUCAAGCUUCAAAACGCUUUUUGGAUUUUGAUUCUACGAUAAUUUUUCGCUGAGUUGCAGCAGUUUGAAAAUAGCCUAAAUUUUCGGUAUACAAAAAGUGUUCUCUAUUUUUUUUUAGUAGUAUAUUUAGUAAACACUACAUGGCUAUAAAAUUUUAUUAACAAUUUUGCAUGAAUUUAUUUUUGUCUGGUUGACACUACGUCCGUUUGUUACUGUGUUCCUUUUAUUCAAACUGCUGUUUCCAUUUUAUUCUAUGCGCAUCUAGGACUCACUCACGCUAUUAAAAUGUGGGCUAUCGGGAUGUGUGUUAUCGGGAUAAUGCGCUUUUUACUUUGUGCGCUAUUGGGCUAAUAUGCUUUUUUUACUGUGCAAUAUCAAGACGUAUGCUAUCGGGAUGUGCGCUAUCCCACCGUGCGCUAACGGCACCCUCUCCGCAAAAAUGAUUUUUCAGGUCCAAAGUAUGGUUGGUUGGUUGGGAAUGUGCUGCCAUCGGAUUCGGUAGUUCGCCUGGUGAAAUUUUGCCAGAAGACAUCCCCUCAUCCUGGGAUGCAAAUGCGCAUCACACAUUAUAGGGGAGCAUAGACAUCAACAAAAGAAGCAGUUAAUGCAAGAGGUAAUCGGCUGGAAAGUCUUCGAUGAGUCCUCCUUGUCGAAUCAUCUUUAGGAUUGCCAAGGCUCAGGCGAGGGUGAUGAGAGUGAGCAAUUCAAGGAAGACGGACUGGGACUUAUUUCGUGAGGACUUGGCUGUCAAUCUUAGGGAGUUUCCCAAAAGAGAUGAGAUCUCGCAAGAGAUAGAGCUGUGUGUCAAGCACCUGCAAAGGGCGCUCGUCGACAGUUUCGAAAACAUCUGUCCGAAAAGGACAUUUAUUGUAACACAGGCAACCCUCUGACGGCAACAGAGGGCCGCUCUGUGGUGCCACCUCGCCCAGAAGAGCAUAGGCCCGUAAUACCUCCACUACCUUUGCGAAGACGCUCCUACCCCGAGAAGGGCAAUGGAAAAACCCAGCAGUGCCUGUGGGCGAGUCACAGGGGUGAGCAGUUUAGCCGCACGGGGAACCUCGGGGAGGCCCGCUCAUCUGCGUUCCGACCGGACGCACACUCUGACCCUGUUUAUUAGUAGUUGUUGUGGGUGAACUGGAUGGAAAUGGGAUGGGCGUCUGUGUAUGCGUAUGCGGAACUGUGAGUUUUGUGUUGGUGGUUCGUUUGGGGUUUUGGAGAGGGGAGGGGAGCGCGGUUCCCUCCGAGGCUAACUUCCGGAGGGCUCUCAUCACACCGAUGGGAGGGUGGCAUUCGAGGCCGGCUCCAUCAUCAAUUCCCCGGAAGGGUAGGCGCACAGGUGAAAUACUUAGAGGGAAGGACGUGGCCCCAUCCAAGGCUAACCAGGGACGGCACUUUCGACACCGAAGAUGUGGUGCCGGAGGCCGCUCCCCCCCAAUUCCUUAGACAGGAUAGCGCACAGGAAUGUGUGGGGUAUCCAGACGGGUAAGCGCACGGGAUUGUGUAGGUUUUUGUGUUAGGACUGAGGGUGGGAAUGUUUUACGCUAAGUGCAAGGUAAUGGGGGUCUCGUCUAGCCUACAAGGCGAAUCCCCCGGUCGAGGACCGUAUCCCAGCGGUGCGGUGUAGUAGCCGCUCUACAUGAGCACAGUCCCGGGCCAAUAAGUCGUCUAAGACGAAUGGGUGCUGUUAGCUUCUCCGUCAACAGGUUGUCAGGCCCUCGGGAUAUUGAGCCCUCCCACCACGACAAGGUCGCACCCACGGGAGGGUGUCCGAAAAGGACAGUGAGAAAUGCUAAGAGUCUCCUGGUGGACUCUAAGGCUGCAGCUCAGGAGUGCGGCGCGUGGCAUAGGGCCAGGAACACGAGCCGCCAGUUGACUAGGACCUGCAUCGAAGGGCUCAGAAGGCUUACAAGGAUUCUAUGGCAAUAG
rnacentral:lncRNA from 1 species